rnacentral:rRNA from 1 species
UACGUAGGGUGCAAGCGUUGUCCGGAAUUAUUGGGCGUAAAGAGCUCGUAGGCGGUUCGUCACGUCGGCUGUGAAAUCCCGAGGCUCAACCUCGGGUCUGCAGUCGAUACGGGCGGACUGGAGUACUGCAGGGGAGACUGGAAUUCCUGGUGUAGCGGUGAAAUGCGCAGAUAUCAGGAGGAACACCGGUGGCGAAGGCGGGUCCCUGGACAACUCCUGACACUGAGGCACGAAAGCUAGGGGAGCAAACAGG